rnacentral:sRNA from 1 species
CUAACCAGUAUACCAAGGUCAUUGUCUGCCAGUUGGAGGUUUAUCAAAAGAGCCUGAAAAUGGCUCAGAGGCAGCUCCUAAAAAAAAAAGAUUUUGGGGAACCAGUGUUACCUAGACCUCCUUCUCUGAUCCAGAAUGAAUGUGGCCAAGGAGAGCAGGCUAGUGAAAAAAAUGAAUGCAUCUCAGAAGAUAUGAGAGAUGAAGACAAAGAGGAGAGGCAGGAGUCUAGGGCAUCUGACUGGCACUCAAAAACCAAGGAUUUCCAGGAAAGCUCAAUUAAAAGCUUGAAAGAGAAACUUUUGUUGAAGGAAGAACCAACAACCAGUCAUGGUCAGUCUUCCCAAGGGAUUGUUGAAGAAACUUCUGAAGAGGGAAACUCUGUACCUGCUUCACAAAGUGUUGCUGCUUUGCCCAGUAAGAGAAGCUUAGUCCUUAUGCCAGAGAGUUCUGCAGAAGAAAUCACUGUUUGUCCUGAGACACAGCUAAGUUCCUCUGAAACUUUUGACCUUGAAAGACGAGUCUCUCCAGGUAGCAGAGAUAUCUUGGAUGGAGUCAGAAUAAUAAUGGCAGAUAAGGAGGUUGGUAACAAGGAAGAUGCUGAGAAGGAAAUAGCUAUUUCUACCUUCUCAUCCAAUAACCAGGUAUCCUGCCCGCUAUGUGACCAACGCUUUCCACCCACAAAGAUUGAACGACAUGCCAUGUACUGCAAUGGUCUGAUGGGGGAAGAUACAGGCUGGAGUGCAGUAGUGGAACCUUGGCUUGCUGCAACCUCUGCCUCUCCAGCUCAAGCAAUCCUCCCACCUCAGCCUCCCAAUAUUGACUCGGAGACAAAAAGAGGCCAAGAUGAAGAGUGACAGUGGGACAGCUGCCCAGACUUCUCUAGACAUUGACAAGAAUGAGAAGUGUUAUCUCUGUAAAUCCCUGGUCCCACUUAGAGAGUAUCAGUGUCAUGUGG